GAUGAACGCUGGCGGCGUGCUUAACACAUGCAAGUCGAACGGAAAGGCCCAAGCUUGCUUGGGUACUCGAGUGGCGAACGGGUGAGUAACACGUGGGUGAUCUGCCCUGCACUUCGGGAUAAGCCUGGGAAACUGGGUCUAAUACCGGAUAGGACGAUGGUUUGGAUGCCAUUGUGGAAAGUUUUUUCGGUGUGGGAUGAGCUCGCGGCCUAUCAGCUUGUUGGUGGGGUAAUGGCCUACCAAGGCGUCGACGGGUAGCCGGCCUGAGAGGGUGUACGGCCACAUUGGGACUCAGAUACGGCCCAGACUCCUACGGGAGGCAGCAGUGGGGAAUAUUGCACAAUGGGCGCAAGCCUGAUGCAGCGACGCCGCGUGGGGGAUGACGGCCUUCGGGUUGUAAACUCCUUUCGCUAGGGACGAAGCGUUUUUGUGACGGUACCUGGAGAAGAAGCACCGGCUAACUACGUG
rnacentral:rRNA from 1 species